rnacentral:lncRNA from 1 species
UUCUAGGUCCCAUGCUCGGCUCACAAACUCAGUUGAGAAGCCGGUGAAGAUACCAUUGGAGCCUGUGAGAAAGAAGUCAGUGAAUUCACCAGCUUUGUGGGCCUUUGAGGUAUCACCCAAGAAUAAAACUUCUAGGUCAGUAUCCUCUUUGUUGUACCACCAUGUAACAACACCAAAGGGAAGAGCAAGUGCAUCGCCCUUCUUAAUAGGGACUACCUUCUCCUCUGAUUCAGGAAGAACAAUUCCAGCAACACCAUUUCCUGGAGAAAGCAAGAACCACAGCCAAAUAAGUAAAUUUGACCAAAGACCAAUAUCAACUGUGUAGGAAAUUAGGGUUUGUAGUUAUGAAUUAUGCAAUUACACUCGGAAUCUCACCCCAUUAAUCAAAUCACAUGCCACACACCUCUCAAACUCUAAUGAACUCACAAGAAGUUAGACCAGCAUUUCAUUAUGGGGAUUCAAAUUAGCAGAAAACAAAAACUGUUGGGCAUAUGAUCAACAUUCUUCAUAGAUAAACAAGAAAUCAAUUGAUCAACCCAAUUUUGGGAGGAAGAACAAUAAGAAAACAUCGUCCAUAACUAAAGCCAACCAAAGAUGAAUAAUAAAACAUUUAAAGGGUCACCUAUUCAAUCAAACUGAAGAUCAUACUGAUAAUGAUCAGUUUCCGAACAAAUAAACUAACAAUACAAAUAUAACCCAUCUAAUUUUUUUUUAACAUACCCAUGAAUCCAACCACAGACUAUGAAAAAAAAAAUCCCACCCAAUAUUCAAAGAGAAAACCAAAAAUACCUUGUAAAACAUAAGCGACCUUUGAGGAAUCAGAGUAGCUAGGAAGAGCAAACCCAUGUUGGUGGAGAAUGAUCUUGGCUGCGCCGAUGUUGCCUUCACCAAGCAUGGGAAGCUCCGAUGGGGACCACGCCAAGUAUGACCCCCCAUUGCUCCCGUACGCCUCC